rnacentral:rRNA from 1 species
UUUUAUGAGAGUUUGAUCCUGGCUCAGGACGAACGCUGGCGGCGUGCCUAAUACAUGCAAGUCGUACGCUUCUUUUUCCACCGGAGCUUGCUCCACCGGAAAAAGAAGAGUGGCGAACGGGUGAGUAACACGUGGGUAACCUGCCCAUCAGAAGGGGAUAACACUUGGAAACAGGUGCUAAUACCGUAUAACAAUCGAAACCGCAUGGUUUUGAUUUGAAAGGCGCUUUCGGGUGUCGCUGAUGGAUGG